rnacentral:misc_RNA from 1 species
GAAAUGCGAUAAGUAAUGUGAAUUGCAGAAUUCAGUGAAUCAUCGAAUAUUUGAACGCACCUUGCGCUCCUUGGUAUUCCUUGGAGCAUGUCUGUUUGAGUAUCAUGAAAUCUUCAAAGUAAAUCUUUUGUUAACUCAAUUGGUUUCUACUUUGGUAUUGGAGGUCUUUGCAGCUUCACACCUGCUCCUCUUUGUUCAUUAGCUGGAUCUCAGUGUUAUGCUUGGUUCCACUCGGCGUGAUAAGUUAUCUAUCGCUGAGGACACUGUAAAAGGUGGCCAAGGUAAAUGCAGAUGAACCGCUUCUAAUAGUCCAUUGACUUGGACAAUACUUUUAUGAUCUGAUCUCAAAUCAGGUAGGACUACCCGCUGAACUUAAGC